GACGAACGCUGGCGGCGUGCUUAACACAUGCAAGUCGAACGGUGACGGAGAGCUUGCUCUCCUGAUCAGUGGCGAACGGGUGAGUAACACGUGGGCAACCUGCCCCAGACUUCGGGAUAACGCUUCGAAAGAGGUGCUAAUACCGGAUACGAACUCCUUGGGCAUCCUUGGAGUUGGAAAGUUUUUCGGUCUGGGAUGGGCCCGCGGCCUAUCAGCUUGUUGGUGAGGUAACGGCUCACCAAGGCGACGACGGGUAGCCGGCCUGAGAGGGCGACCGGCCACACUGGGACUGAGACACGGCCCAGACUCCUACGGGAGGCAGCAGUGGGGAAUAUUGCGCAAUGGGCGAAAGCCUGACGCAGCAACGCCGCGUGAGGGAUGACGGCCUUCGGGUUGUAAACCUCUUUCAGCAGGGAAGAAGCGAAAGUGACGGUACCUGCAGAAGAAGCACCGGCUAACUACGUGCCAGCAGCCGCCGCGGUAA
rnacentral:rRNA from 1 species